rnacentral:rRNA from 1 species
CCUACGGGAGGCAGCAGUGGGGAAUAUUGCACAAUGGGGGAAACCCUGAUGCAGCGACGCCGCGUGAGUGAAGACGUAAUUCGUUAUGUAAAGCUCUAUCAGCAGGGAAGAAAAUGACGGUACCUGAGUAAGAAGCCCCGGCUAACUACGUGCCAGCAGCCGCGGUAAUACGUAGGGGGCAAGCGUUAUCCGGAUUUAAUGGGUGGAAAGGGAGCGUAGACGGCAGUUGAAGUCUGGAGGGAAAGGCGAGGGCUAAACCCCCGGCUUGCUCUGGAAACUGUACGGCUGGAGUGCAGGAGAGGGAAGUGGAAUUCCUAGUGUAGCGGUGAAAUGCGUAGAUAUUAGGAGGAACACCAGUGGCGAAGGCGGCUUACUGGACUGUAACUGACGUUGAGGCUCGAAAGCGUGGGGAGCAAACAGGAUUAGAUACCCUUGUAGUC